rnacentral:rRNA from 3 species
AAGUCGUAACAAGGUUUCCGUAGGUGAACCUGCGGAAGGAUCAUUAUCAAAACAGCGGACUUCGGUCCUUGCUGCACCCUUGUCUUUUGCGUACCGUAUGUUUCCUCGGCGGGCUUGCCUGCCGGUUGGACAUUAUCAAACCUUUUUGUAGUUGCAAUCAGCGUCAGAAAAUAAACAAUAAUUACAACUUUCAACAACGGAUCUCUUGGUUCUGGCAUCGAUGAAGAACGCAGCGAAAUGCGAAAAGUAGUGUGAAUUGCAGAAUUCAGUGAAUCAUCGAAUCUUUGAACGCACAUUGCGCCCCUUGGUAUUCCAUGGGGCAUGCCUGUUCGAGCGUCAUUUUGUACCCUCAAGCACUGCUUGGUGUUGGGCGUUUGUCCUGCAAAGGACUCGCCUGAAAGCGAUUGGCGGCCAACGUACUGGUGGUAGAGCGCAGCACAAUUUGCGUCUCUCCCUUCUACGUUAGCGUCCAUGAAGCCUUUUUCAAACGUUUGACCUCGGAUCAGGUAGGGAUACCCGCUGAACUUAA